CUACGGGGGGCAGCAGUGAGGAAUAUUGCACAAUGGAGGAAACUCUGAUGCAGCAACGCCGCGUGGAGGAUGACGCAUUUCGGUGUGUAAACUCCUUUUAUAUGUCAAGAAAAUGACGGUAGCAUAUGAAUAAGCACCGGCUAACUCCGUGCCAGCAGCCGCGGUAAUACGGAGGGUGCAAGCGUUACCCGGAAUCACUGGGCGUAAAGGACGCGUAGGCGGGAUAUCAAGUCAGGUGUGAAAUCCUACAGCUUAACUGUAGAACUGCACUUGAAACUGGUAACCUAGAGUAUGGGAGGGGGAGAUGGAAUUAGUGGUGUAGGGGUAAAAUCCGUAGAUAUCACUAGGAAUACCUAAAGCGAAGGCGAUCUCCUGGAACAUAACUGACGCUAAGGCGUGAAAGCGUGGGGAGCAAACAGGAUUAGAUACCCGGGUAGUC
rnacentral:rRNA from 1 species